rnacentral:misc_RNA from 1 species
UAUAAAAAAUAAAAAUAAUUAUAUUUACAAAUUAUGUGAAAUCACGUUUAUGUGCGUGCAAAGCACAUGCUAAUAUAUAGACUUAAAAUUUGCUUCACAUUUAUGAUUUAGCAGUGACGUUAUCAAUAUGGAGCCUCUAUUAUUUGUUUUCAAGUCCAAAAUUCGAAAUUUUCCCUCAAGAGAUUUAAUAACUAAAAAGUAAUAUGGUUUGACUAGUGUUGGUAGCUAAUUCCUAAUAAUUAAGACAGUGACCUUGUUGGUUGAGUUGUAUUGAAAAUUGAUCUACUCUCAAUAGUAGUUGUGGUCAACUUGUAACUGAAAUGAGGGGUGAAUUUCAUUAUGGUAGGCCUGCAUUUUUAAGAACAUAUAUCUGAAAGAGUUGAAUUAUCUAAACCUCUUAAAUGGUCAUAAUAUGAUGAUACACCUAUUUAUCUGACUAUGAUUCAAUGGAUUAUUCCAAAUUGCAGCCAGGCUACUCGCUUCGCACAUUUACAGGACAUUCUACAACUGUGAUGUCAGUGGAUUUCCAUCCUAGUAAAGAGGACCUUAUCUGUUCAUGUGAUAAUGACAGUGAGGUUCGCUACUGGAGUAUAAAGAAUGGUAGUUGUGUUGGAGUCUUUAAGGUAUAAAAUGCAGAUGUUACACAUAUUCAGGGGUCUUGUGCAACUUACACAUAUUCAGGGUUCUUGUGCAAGACUAAUAUUUUACCAAUAUUUACGGAUUUAGUUGCACUAUUAAGUAUUUAAUAAUUUUCUCAGGGCGGUGCUACUCAGACAAGGUUUCAACCUCAUUUUGGAAGGAUCCUUGCAGCUGCUGCAGAGAAUGUGGUAUCCAUACUAGAUGUUGAGACUAAAAUGUGUAGGCUUAAAUUCCAGGGCCAUAAAAACCAAAUCCAUUCUGUGUGUUGGGAUCCUUCUGGCGAGUAUGUGGCAUCUGUGAGUGAUGACUUGGUUAGAGUGUGGACGGUGGGCUCCGGCAGUAAAGGGGAAUACAUUCAUGAAUUGAGCUGUACUGGCAACAAAUUUCAUACUUGUGUUUUCCAUCCCACUUACUCGUCUCUGCUGAUCAUUGGCUGCUAUGAGAAUCUGGAGCUUUGGAACAUGGCUGAGAACAAGACGAUGGAUGUACGUGCGCAUGACAAAUUGGUAUCUGAUUUGGCAGUGUCAGAUGUUACUGGCUUGGUAGCUUCUGCUAGUCAUGACAAGUAUGUCAAGCUCUGGAAGUGAUUUCAUCGCUCGCUCUUUUUGAGUCUUCUCACAUUACCCGGCGUUAAUACAUAGAUGAUGUAUGCAUGCAAACGUUAUCCAGACUUUCUGACAGAUGCAUUUGUAGCUGUCAAUAAUGGCAAAUGGUUACAAACUGUUUAGCAGAAGGGGUUUUAAAUUUUAUCCAUUAUACGUUGGACGCUGACCCAGUCCCAAGUGACCCCAAGAUUUCAAAUUUUGUGCUAUGAUCCGGCAAGUACAAGUAUUUCAGGAAAACCUUGAAAAGUUUUGUCAUCGUAAAUGCAACAUAUGUAGUAUGUGAAUGCAAUGAUCAAAUAUAUAUUAUUCGUCUCAAAAUUUGCUGCUCUCUGAGACAGGCAACGAGUGAAUUGCUCUUGCAUGGUGUCCGGUUCAUUCUGCAAAAUUUUGUUUUUGUAGAAUUCAAUUAAAUUCAUUUGAAA